AAAAAAUUUUAUUUUAGUUUAAGAAUUAAGUAUUAUUUUUUAUUAUAUAUAAAAUUUAUUAAAUAGUAUUUUGUAGUGAUUAGAUUUAAAUAUUCAAGUGAUUGAGAAUUAGAAAUAAUAAAAAAUAUAAACUAAAUUUGUGCCAGCAGUUGCGGUUAUACAAAUUAUAUAAUUUAAUUUAUUUAAUAAUAAAUAAUUAAGAUGUUAAAUUAAAUUUUAAAAUUUGUUUGGUGAAAUUAUCAAAUUUUUAAAAUAAUUUAUUUUAGUUAAUAAUUUAAGAAAUUUUUUAGUUAGACUAGGAUUAGAUACCCUAUUAUUGAAAAUGUAAUUUUUAUAUUAAAUUAGUAUUAGCUAUGUUCUUAAAAAUUAAAAAUUUUGGCGGUAUUUUAGUCUUUUCAGAGGAACCUGUUUUUUGAAUGAUAGUCCACGAUUUUAAUUACUUUUUUUUUUAGUUUGUAUAUCGUCGUAAUUUAAAUAUUUUUUAAAAAUUAAAUAUUUAGGAUUUAUGUAAUAAAAAAAAUCAGAUCAAGGUAUAGCUUAUAAAAAAGUUAAAAUGGGUUACAUUAAAUAAAUUUGAAGAUAAUUAUUUUUAAAAAUAGUUUGAAUGUGGAUUUGAAAGUAAUUUUAAUAAUUUUAUUAAAAUGAUUUAAGCUCUAAAAUAUGUACAUAUUGCCCGUCGCUUUCGUUUAAAAUGAAAUAAGUCGUAACAAAGUAGAUUUACUGGAAAGUGAAUCUAGAAUCAA
rnacentral:ncRNA from 1 species